UACGAGACUGCAAGCGUUAUUCGGAUUCACUGGGCGUAAAGGGUGCGCAGGCGGCCGAGUGUGUGAGGCGUGAAAGCCUGGAGCUCAACUCCAGAAUUGCACCUCAAACUACACGGCUAGAGCAUUGGAGAGGGUAGCGGAAUUCACGGUGUAGCAGUGAAAUGCGUAGAUAUCGUGAGGAACGCCAGAGGCGAAGGCGGCUACCUGGACAAUUGCUGACGCUCAGGCACGAAAGCGUGGGGAGCAAAAGGG
rnacentral:rRNA from 1 species